AAUAAGCGGAGGAAAAGAAACCAACAGGGAUUGCCCCAGUAGCGGCGAGUGAAGCGGCAAGAGCUCAGAUUUGAAAUCGUGUUUCGGCACGAGUUGUAGAGUGUAGGCGGGAGUCUCUGUGGAGCGCGGUGUCCAAGUCCCUUGGAACAGGGUGCCUGAGAGGGUGAGAGCCCCGUAGGGUGCUGCGCGAAGCUUUUGAGGCCCUGCUGACGAGUCGAGUUGUUUGGGAAUGCAGCUCCAAGCGGGUGGUAAAUUCCAUCUAAGGCUAAAUAUUGGCGAGAGACCGAUAGCGAACAAGUACUGUGAAGGAAAGAUGAAAAGCACUUUGAAAAGAGAGUGAAACAGCACGUGAAAUUGUUGAAAGGGAAGGGUAUUGGGCUCGACAUGGGGGGUGCGCACCGCUGUCUCUUGUAGGCGGCGCUCUGGGCGCCCUCUGGGCCAGCAUCGGUUCCUGCUGCGGGAGAAGGGGCUCCGGAAAGUGGCUCUUCGGAGUGUUAUAGCCGGGGCCAGAUGCCGCGUGUGGGGACCGAGGACUGCGGCUUCU
rnacentral:rRNA from 1 species